CUACCAGACUCCUACGGGAGGCAGCAGUGGGGAAUAUUGGGCAAUGGGCGCAAGCCUGACCCAGCAACGCCGCGUGAAGGAAGAAGGCUUUCGGGUUGUAAACUUCUUUUCUCAGGGACGAAGCAAGUGACGGUACCUGAGGAAGAAGCCCCGGCUAACUACGUGCCAGCAGCCGCGGUAAUACGUAGGGGGCAGGCGUUAUCCGGAUUUACUGGGUGUAAAGGGAGCGUAGACGGCGGUGCAAGCCAGAUGUGAAAGCCCGGGGCUCAACCCCGGGACUGCAUUUGGAACUGUGCUGCUAGAGUGUCGGAGAGGCAGGCGGAAUUCCUAGUGUAGCGGUGAAAUGCGUAGAUAUUAGGAGGAACACCAGUGGCGAAGGCGGCUUACUGGACUGUAAAUGACGCUGAGGCUCGAAAGCGUGGGGAGCAAACAGGAUUAGAUACCCCUGUA
rnacentral:rRNA from 1 species